CAACGGUGAUGAGCACUUAUCCCGAACCUGAUCAUAUAUUGAUGAGGCAGAAAUUACGGAUCUGAUUGCUGAGUU
ensembl:snoRNA